GAUGAACGCUGGCGGCGUGCUUAACACAUGCAAGUCGAACGAUGAAGCUCAGCUUGCUGGGUGGUUUAGUGGCGAACGGGUGAGUAACACGUGAGUAACCUGCCCUUAACUCUGGGAUAAGCCUGGGAAACUAGGUCUAAUACCGGAUAGGAGCGCCUACCGCAUGGUGGGUGUUGGAAAGAUUUAUCGGUUUUGGAUGGACUCGCGGCCUAUCAGCUUGUUGGUGAGGUAAUGGCUCACCAAGGCGACGACGGGUAGCCGGCCUGAGAGGGUGACCGGCCACACUGGGACUGAGACACGGCCCAGACUCCUACGGGAGGCAGCAGUGGGGAAUAUUGCACAAUGGGCGAAAGCCUGAUGCAGCGACGCCGCGUGAGGGAUGACGGCCUUCGGGUUGUAAACCUCUUUCAGUAGGGAAGAAGCGAAAGUGACGGUACCUGCAGAAGAAGCACCGGCUAACUACGUG
rnacentral:rRNA from 1 species